AAAGCGUGCGCAGGCGGUUUUGUAAGACAGUCGUGAAAUCCCCGGGCUCAACCUGGGAAUUGCGAUUGUGACUGCAAGGCUGGAGUGCGGCAGAGGGGGAUGGAAUUCCGCGUGUAGCAGUGAAAUGCGUAGAUAUGCGGAGGAACACCGAUGGCGAAGGCAAUCCCCUGGACCUGUACUGACGCUCAUGCACGAAAGCGUGGGGAGCAAACAGGAUUAGAUACCCCUGU
rnacentral:rRNA from 1 species